rnacentral:sRNA from 1 species
UUUUAGCCCUGAUAGCAGUGGAAAUCCUUUUCCUUUUUUCUUUAAAAAGGAAAAGAUUACAACGAAUAGCAGGAUUAGCU